UACGUAGGGCGCAAGCGUUGUCCGGAAUUAUUGGGCGUAAAGGGCUCGUAGGCGGUCCGUCACGUCGGGAGUGAAAACUCGGGGCUCAACCCCGAGCCUGCUUUCGAUACGGGCGGACUAGAGGUAGGUAGGGGAGAACGGAAUUCCUGGUGUAGCGGUGGAAUGCGCAGAUAUCAGGAGGAACACCGGUGGCGAAGGCGGUUCUCUGGGCCUUACCUGACGCUGAGGAGCGAAAGCGUGGGGAGCGAACAGG
rnacentral:rRNA from 1 species